UGGGUUAGUGGAGGAGGAGGAGAGGAGGAGGUCGCAGUGUUGUGUACUUAAGGUCGCGUGUGUGCAGGGUUUUUCUCCCUCUCUCGCGGAGGAGUAAGUGCCACUGCUCCGCCUUCUCCUUUUCGCAAUGUUGACGCAAUCUAUAAAUAGUGGAACAAAAGGACCAACUUCCUCGCAGCUUUGCUGAAACUGCACAAAAAAGGCAACAGGGGGGUUGUUAUUUUUAUUUUUAUUUUCUGGUUAAACAGCCGAAUCUAGGGGUAAUCUCGCUAUUGGAAGAUUUUUCUUCGCUUUCUCAUCAUACUGGCAGCGUCCUGCAACUGGCUAUUUUGCUUUACAGUGAGAAGGGUGUUUUUCCUCCUCUGACAGAUCAACUUCUAAAAUUUGUGUCAGUGGACCGCUGAUCUGCUGCAACAUCACAGCUACUGUGAUUCUGAUCAAGAAUUGUGCCAUUUGUGGAUGAAAUUUGCACACCGUUUGUUUUCCAGUAUUGAAAGGUUUUGACCUUUCAAUAGAGAGCUGAUUCUGGAGAACAACUUACUUCUGUGAUUGAAAAAUUCUCUCUGGGAAGCUGAUGGAGCAUGAGAAUGAGGAGUAUUGCAUUGAGACAACUGAAUCUGCCACAGUAAGGAUGGAAAUUGCAUGGGUUUCUUUCCUUUUCUUACAUGCAGCGUUUAACUGUGUGACCAGUGAGCCUUUGAAGUGGAUUCUUCUGAAGGUUACCCUUAAAGUAAAGUUUAUUGAAGCAGUGAAGAUGGCAACAUGGAGUCUAGUGAUGAAGGGAGCUGUAUGCUCUUUCUUCCCCCACUUGUGUUUGCUGAAAUGCAAAUUAUUCUGUUUCCUACCAUCUCCUUCCCCUACUGUCUUGAAGAUCCUGUUUACUACUUGUACAUAAAUUGAGGUAAACACACAUUCCUUUGUUUAGGAUAGACCUGCUUAACACUUUUAUCAGGCAGGGUUUUGAAACUGUGCUAAUAACCUCAUAUGGGGUAAUUAAUUACUUUACAUAUAACGUUGCUACCUACAUUUCACCAUGAUAUUAUUGACCAGUGAGUUAUUAGUUUUUAAAUGAUACCUCACAAGGCAUAUUUUAUAUAAAGAUUAUUACAAUAGUGUGUAGGGUGUGAAUACAUGGGUGCUUUCGGUCACACCCAUCCAUCAAACUCCUAGAAUCCUCCUACACCAGCAUCAAUUUCCUGGACACCAACAUCACUUUCAACCAUGGAAUCCUACAGACAACUAUAUACAAGAAACCCAUGGACCAUGCUUUCCUUCACAGAUGCAGUAACCACCCCAAACACACCAAGAAACCUGAGCAGCCAGGUACUCAGAUACCACAGAAUAUGCUCUGAGGAGAAAGUCUGGGAUACACACUUUAACACACUUAAAACCGCCUUCACCAAACAAGGAUACUCCACCAGAGAAGUAGAUCACAUCAUGGAAUGGGCCAUCCAAAUACCCUGAGAGAACCUGCUUCAAUAUGGAGAGAGAGAGAAAAAAGCUCUGAUCACACACCCCUAGUUGUCACCUACCACCCCUGGAACCAAUGUGGGGUAUCAUUAAACAAUUAUAACCCAUACAUGAGGGGGACCACAUCCUGAAAUAAAUCUUUCCGGAACUCCUUCUGCUGACCUUCAAAUAACCCCCAAACCUUGCCAAGUUUAUAUGAAGCAAGCUCCCCACAGCCCAGGAUUCACUAACUCAAAAAGGCACCAGAUAUUGCCAUAAAUAUUGCCAUAACAGAUACAAAACCUCCAGGCAUAUCUCUAUUGCUAUGAUGAUCAGUAUCCCUUACAACACACCUUUCAAUAUCCAUGGGUCCUACACAAGCCUAUCACAACAUGUGAUGUACCUCAUCCAGCUCACUAAAUACCCCAAUGACAACUGUGUGGGUGAAAUGAGACAAUCACUACUCUCCCAGAUGAACUCUCAGAAAAAUGAUAAAAGACAAAAACACGAGAUCGUCCAUGGGCAAACACUUUUAAAUUAACAAUCACUCCACAUUUGACUUUUCAGUCGUUGUCCUCAAAGGAAACCUGCGCAACAACUUCAAAAGAUAAGCCUGGGAACUUAAAUUUAUGAAUGUGCUAGACAUUAAAAAUCAAAGACUCAAUAAAGACACUAGAUUUAUG